UCUGGGACAAGCCCUGGAAACGGGGUCUAAUACCGGAUAACACUCCUGCCUGCAUGGGCGGGGGUUAAAAGCUCCGGCGGUGAAGGAUGAGCCCGCGGCCUAUCAGCUUGUUGGUGGGGUAAUGGCCUACCAAGGCGACGACGGGUAGCCGGCCUGAGAGGGCGACCGGCCACACUGGGACUGAGACACGGCCCAGACUCCUACGGGAGGCAGCAGUGGGGAAUAUUGCACAAUGGGCGAAAGCCUGAUGCAGCGACGCCGCGUGAGGGAUGACGGCCUUCGGGUUGUAAACCUCUUUCAGCAGGGAAGAAGCGAAAGUGACGGUACCUGCAGAAGAAGCGCCGGCUAACUACGUGCCAGCAGCCGCGGUAAUACGUAGGGCGCAAGCGUUGUCCGGAAUUAUUGGGCGUAAAGAGCUCGUAGGCGGCUUGUCACGUCGGAUGUGAAAGCCCGGGGGCUUAACCCCGGGUCUGCAUUCGAUACGGGCUAGCUAGAGUGUGGUAGGGGAGAUCGGAAUUCCUGGUGUAGCGGGUGAAAUGCGCAGAUAUCAGGAGGAACACCGGUGGGCAAAGGCGGAUCUCUGGGCCAU
rnacentral:rRNA from 1 species